AACGAACGCUGGCGGCAUGCCUAACACAUGCAAGUCGAACGAGACCUUCGGGUCUAGUGGCGCACGGGUGCGUAACGCGUGGGAACCUGCCCUUAGGUUCGGAAUAACUCCCCGAAAGGGGUGCUAAUACCGGCUAAUGUCUUCGGACCAAAGAUUUAUCGCCUUUGGAUGGGCCCGCGGUGUAUUAGCUAGUUGGUAGGGUAAAAGCCUACCAAGGCGACGAUCCAUAGCUGGCAUGAGAGGAUGCUCAGCAACACUGGGACUGGGACACGGCCCAGACUCCUGAGGGAGGCAGCAGUGGGGAAUAAUGGACAAUGGGCGAAAGCCUGAUGCAGCAAGGCCGCGAGAGUGAUGAAGGCGUUAGGGUGGUAAAGCUCUUUUACCCGGGAUGAUAAUGACAGUACCGGGAGAAUAAGCCCCGGCUAACUCCGU
rnacentral:rRNA from 1 species